rfam:Hordeum vulgare subsp. vulgare, WGS project CAJW01000000 data, contig: morex_contig_37710
GAUAUACUCCUUCCGUCCGGAAAUACUUGUCCUAGAGAUGAAUGUAUCUAGACUUAUUUUAGUUAUAGAUACAUCCAUUAUAUCAAUUUUUUGGACAAGUAUUUCCGGACGGAGGGAGUAUAUC